rnacentral:rRNA from 1 species
UACGAAGGGGGCUAGCGUUGCUCGGAAUCACUGGGCGUAAAGGGUGCGUAGGUGGUGAGGUAAGUCGGAUGUGAAAUCUCCGAGCUCAACUCGGAAAUGGCAUUGGAAACUACCUUGCUCGAGGGUUGGAGGGGGGACUGGAAUACUUGGUGUAGCAGUGAAAUGCGUAGAUAUCAAGUGGAACACCAGUGGCGAAGGCGAGUCCCUGGACAACUCCUGACACUGAGGCACGAAAGCUAGGGGAGCAAACAGG